AGUGAGGCUGGUGCGCCAUGUGGGAUAAAAUCAGUCUGUAUUUAUGGUGGAACUAAAAAGGAACCCCAAAUAUCUGCCCUUAAAUCUGGAGUGGAUAUAGUCAUAGGAACUCAUGGUCGUAUGAAAGACCUUAUUGAAAUGGGUGUUUGCUGUCUUAAUGAGGUUUCGUUUGUGGUUCUAGAUGAAGCAGAUAGGAUGCUGGAUUUGGGUUUCGAACCUGAAGUCAGGGCAAUUUUGAGCCAAACAUCAUCUGGUUUGUAUC